rnacentral:rRNA from 1 species
AUGCAAGUCGAACGGAAACGAUACUAGCUUGCUAGUAGGCGUCGAGUGGCGGACGGGUGAGUAACGCGUAGGAAUCUGCCUGAUAGUGGGGGAUAGCCCGAAGAAAUUCGGAUUAAUACCGCAUAAUCUAUUCGUAGUAAAGUGGGGGACUUUCGAGCCUCACGCUAUCAGAUGAGCCUGCGUAAGAUUAGCUUGUUGGUAGGGUAAAAGCCUACCAAGGCGACGAUCUUUAGCUGGUCUGAGAGGAUGAUCAGCCACAUCGGGACUGAGACACGGCCCGAACUCCUACGGGAGGCAGCAGUGGGGAAUAUUGGACAAUGGGGGCAACCCUGAUCCAGCAAUACCGCGUGUGUGAAGAAGGCCUGAGGGUUGUAAAGCACUUUCAAUUGUGAAGAAAAGUUAGCGGUUAAUAACCGUUAGCCUUGACGUUAACUUUAGAAGAAGCACCGGCUAACUCCGUGCCAGCAGCCGCGGUAAUACGGAGGGUGCAAGCGUUAAUCGGAAUUACUGGGCGUAAAGCGUGCGUAGGCGGUUUAUUAAGUCAGAUGUGAAAGCCCCGGGCUUAACCUGGGAACUGCAUUUGAAACUGGUCAACUAGAGUAUGGUAGAGGAAAGUGGAAUUUCUGGUGUAGCGGUGAAAUGCGUAGAUAUCAGAAGGAACAUCAAUGGCGAAGGCAGCUUUCUGGACCAAUACUGACGCUGAGGUACGAAAGCGUGGGUAGCAAACAGGAUUAGAUACCCUGGUAGUCCACGCCGUAAACGAUGAUAACUAGCCGUUGGGGGGAUUUACCCUUUAGUGGCGAAGCUAACGCGUUAAGUUAUCCGCCUGGGGAGUACGGCCGCAAGGUUAAAACUCAAAGGAAUUGACGGGGACCCGCACAAGCGGUGGAGCAUGUGGUUUAAUUCGAUGCAACGCGAGAACCUUACCUGGUCUUGACAUCCUGCGACUUUCUAGAAAU